GAGGGUACAGCUCAAGUGGUAGAGCACAUGCUUAGUAUGCACGAGGUCCUGGGUUCAAUCCCCAGUACCUCCU
rnacentral:tRNA from 1 species